rnacentral:lncRNA from 1 species
UCGACCCCGUCAAAUAUGACACUUUCGAUAUCAAAGGUGUAAGGGCUUGGAGGUGAUGGUGCAAACACAUAUUGACAGUGGAUCACCGUUUCUCAGGUUAUAUGUGGAAUUUUCAAGGCCAGAUGAAAGCCCUUAGACAUCAACUAUUCUUGUUCGAAAGACCAAAACGGUUGAAAAUGUCGAUAGUCGAAUGACACAGUUGUGUGGUGGGUUCAUCACUUUAUUAGAAAGUUCCUAUUAUGAUAUCUCGGAAUUAUCAAUGGGAAGACAUUCAUCCAUAUAGGCCUUAGAUUUCAACCGUGGGAGGCAAGACACAGAACAAUUGGGUGUUGGUGGUAAAACAAAAUACACGACCCCUACAUGAUACUCAGUUAGCAUGUUUGAC